GCCGAUUUUAACGAGAUUUUAUACUCGUCAGAGAAGGAUGGGGGCUCCCCUCGUCAUCAGUCUCGACUACAAGCGUUUCAAGAUGCGCUAUCAGACUGUAAUUUGGAGGACUUAGGUUAUAACGGUGACAUGUUCACCUGGUUUCGCGGUGGUCUGCGCGAGAGGCUCGAUCGAGCAGUCUCUAAUGCUGCAUGGCUGCAGUUGUACCCUGAUACGUGUUUGAGUAACUUGGAUAUGGGCAAAUCGGACCACCGACCGGUGCUAUUAGAUACCGAGUACCUAUCAGGUGUGGCGGAAAGUAGACCAAAGAGAAACAUGAAGUUUGAAAUGUGA
rnacentral:rRNA from 1 species